GCGGCGAUAGUUCAAAUGGAAGAACAUGCGGCAGACCAGCCGUUAGUUGGCGGUUCGAAUCCGACCUCGUCGCUCCA
rnacentral:tRNA from 1 species